rnacentral:lncRNA from 1 species
AUGAAGCUGGGUGGCCUCUGCCUCCUGCUCCUCCUCGCCGUCCUUCUCACCCUCAAUGCAGAGUUCCAAGCAGUUGAUGUAGGUAUCUGUGUGACGGAGUGCAAGGUAGACCAGGACUGUGGGGCAGGAAGACGAUGCACCAGCAAUGGAUGUGGCCGGGUCUGCUCCCCAGUCCGGCGAAGAGAGGCCUGCGAGCACCAGUGCAGAGAAGACAGGGACUGUGGGAGUGGACAUCAGUGCGUGAGGAAGGGCUGUGGGCACGUCUGCGCCCCCGUCCAUCAAGUCGAUGUAGGUAUCUGUGUGAUGGAGUGCCGUGUAGACCAGGACUGUGGGGAAGGAAGACUAUGCAUCAGUAAUGGGUGUGGCCGUGUCUGCUUCCCAGUCCGGCGAAGAGAUGUAGGUAUCUGUGUGACGGAGUGCCGUGUAGACCAGGACUGUGGGGAAGGAAGACUAUGCAUCAGUAAUGGGUGUGGCCGUGUCUGCUUCCCAGGGCGAAGAGAGGCCUGCGAGCACCAGUGCAGAGAAGACAGGGACUGUGGGAGUGGACAUCAGUGCGUGAGGAAGGGCUGUGGGCACGUCUGCGCCCCCGUCCAUCAAGUCGAUGUAGGUAUCUGUGUGAUGGAGUGCAAGGUAGACCAGGACUGUGGGGAAGGAAGAAGAUGCACCAGCAAUGGGUGUGGCCGUGUCUGCUCCCCAGUCCAGCAAAAAGAGGCCUGCGAGCACCAGUGCAGAGAAGACAGGGACUGUGGGAGUGGACAUCAGUGCGUGAGGAAGGGCUGUGGGCACGUCUGCGCCCCCGUCCAUCAAGUCGAUGUAGGUAUCUGUGUGACGGAGUGCCGUGUAGACCAGGACUGUGGGGAAGGAAGACAAUGCACCAGCAAUGGAUGUGGCCGUGUCUGCUCCCCAGCCCAGCAAAGAGAGGCCUGCGAGCACCAAUGCAGAGAAGACAAGGACUGUGGGAGUGGACAUCAGUGCGUGAGGAAGGGCUGUGGGCACGUCUGCUCCCCCAUCCCUCAAGUAGGUAUCUGUGUGACGGAGUGCAAUGUAGACCAGGACUGUGGGGCAGGAAGACGAUGCACCAGCAAUGGAUGUGGCCGUGUCUGCUCCCCACCCCAGGGAGGAGGUAAGGCCGAGAGCCCUCUGGGCACUUGA